CCUACGGGAGGCAGCAGUGAGGAAUAUUGGUCAAUGGACGGAAGUCUGAACCAGCCAUGCCGCGUGCAGGAAGACGGCUCUAUGAGUUGUAAACUGCUUUUGUACAAGGGUAAACCUGAAUACGUGUAUUCAGCUGAAAGUACUGUACGAAUAAGGAUCGGCUAACUCCGUGCCAGCAGCCGCGGUAAUACGGAGGAUCCAAGCGUUAUCCGGAUUUAUUGGGUUUAAAGGGUGCGUAGGCGGAUUGAUAAGUUAGAGGUGAAAUGUCCGAGCUUAACUCGGGAACUGCCUCUAAUACUGUUGGUCUAGAGAGUAGAUGCGGUAGGCGGAAUGUAUGGUGUAGCGGUGAAAUGCUUAGAGAUCAUACAGAACACCGAUUGAGAAGGCAGCUUACCAAUCUAUAUCUGACGUUGAGGCACGAAAGCGUGGGGAGCAAACAGGAUUAGAUACCCCAGUAGUC
rnacentral:rRNA from 1 species